rnacentral:tRNA from 1 species
CAGGUAAUAGUUUAUUAAAAUAGUAAUUUUGGAGAUUAUUGAUAGGUUUAUAGCCUUUUCCUGA